rnacentral:rRNA from 1 species
ACCUACGGGGCGCAGCAGUGAGGAAUAUUGGUCAGUGGUCGGGAGACUGAACCAGCCAAGCCGCGUGAGGGAUGAAGGUACAGAGUAUCGUAAACCUCUUUUGUCAGGGAACAAAGGCGGGGACGUGUCCCCGGAUGAGUGUACCUGAAGAAAAAGCAUCGGCUAACUCCGUGCCAGCAGCCGCGGUAAUACGGAGGAUGCGAGCGUUAUCCGGAUUUAUUGGGUUUAAAGGGUGCGCAGGCGGUCUGUUAAGUCAGCGGUCAAAGCCCAGGGCUCAACCCCGGCCCGCCGUUGAAACUGGCAGU